UCCCCUGUCGUGCUGAAGCCCCUCCAUAGUACAGAGACCUCAUGAGGACCCCCUACAGUAGGGCCAGAAGGGGAGCUCUGUGGCCUCAAUUUAAUGGGAAGAUGGGCAAGGCAGAACCAGGCCCCAAGGGGAAGAGGAGAACAGAGCAUCCCUUCACCUCUGCUCUUGACAGGAGUCCUGUCCAGCCCUUCAGAGUCUGUUCAUUGGCCUCAUUGUGGUUUUCAGAGACCACUUGGAAGCAGUUCUUCCUAUGAACGUAGUCACUGCAGGGGAGCUGCCUCAGAUCCAAAGUGAGAGACGUAGCAUGUGACUGUGGUGUCCUCUCACCCUGGCUAACUUGUGUGUGGAAAGCAAAAUUGUGACUUGUGAAAUACUUUCAUCUCCAAGUUGCCAGUGACAUCAUUCUCUCUCUCCCUGAGCAUGGGGCGUCAUUUCAGAAGGAGGCAUUUUGUAGAGUGAACAGGUGUUGGUACAAGCCCAGGCAUAGACUUCAGUUCCAAAGGCCUCUUCUGUAGGUCUGUUCUGGCACACAGCAAGCUCUGCACAACUUUGGAGAUCAUGGCCAGGAGAGGUCUCCUGACAGGCCCCUUGCCAGUUAGAACACUUGUUCCCACUAAGAAAAACUUUUGCCAACACUACCUGUGCAAAUAAACACCUCUGUGACAGCCAUGAGUUCCUCCUUCCUGUACCUGGCAGACCCCAGGGAUGGACAGAGCAUUCCAGACCCCUUCAGUGCCUGAUGGUGAGGCUCCCACAUGUGUGCACCUUGAUGUCACUUGUCAUCAGAGAGGAGGUCCUAGAGCUGGUCAGCAUGUCACAGAUGCUUUCGCGCUGCUACUGGGAAGGAAGUAACAAGGAGGGGCACCAGACAUGGACACAGUAAGUGCUGGGUGUAAACCUAUUGCACAUAGAUAAAUCCUGCAAGCAGCUGCCUAGAAUAUUCUUUAUGUUGGAAAGUAUGAGUUGAAGUCAUUAUCCAAGAUUUUAUAGGCUAUUUCUUGGCUGAGCCCCAGUAAGGCUUAUGGCUUUGCAGGAAGGCAACAUCACAUUUUAUGAAUGACAGAUGGCUUUUAUCACACCUUUGAUGGUCGUUCAUGGUGAGGAGACUUCGAUGCCCGCAGGCAGGGACCAGAGUGGGUGUGGGCAGAGUAGCUCUUCUGGCCUGAAAAGGGGACCUGUUCUGCUCUUAAUUUUCCUAGGAGUCAAGUCCUGGAUGUGGGAACCCUGGUACAGGAUGACUGUGGUGUCCCUGCUGUGCCUGAUGGAUGUGGGACCUCUGUCCCUGCUUGUUCUGUCCCCUCUCCUCAGUUCUGUGGUGUCUGCAUGAAUUUCCUUGGCUAAACCUUACUCUCCCCCAGGAGGCCCGGUGAGCAUAAAUGCUGUGGCCUGAGCUUUCCUCUGGGCUCACAUUAAUCACAGCUCAAAUCUUCACCCAGCAUAGCCUGACUGGCUUUGUAACAGAAUCAGAAAAGGAGGAUUGAUUUGCAGCAUUUGGCCCAGACAACCACAUGUUUAAAGAUUACUGAAAACCAGCAACUCCUCAUCUCUGCUCUACUCCAAAUGGUCAAAGAAGAAAGAUCAGGAGGAUAACCAGGCCACCCGGGGGCAGUGAGGUUCCCUCUUGCAGCAAUUUUGCCACUGAGCAUUGUGAUCAGCACAGAUUCUCACUGAGAGGGGAUUCUGAGUCCCUACCCUCAGUCUUCCCAGGCUGCCCAUGGCAUGGGAUUUCUCUGUCUCUUUAGGUGGGUUCUGCUAAAGCCACUGCCUAUUCUCCAAGGAUUUAACCAUUGCCCAUGCUGGUGCCAGAGCCACUACUCCUGCAAGAACAUGGGGAGGUAAAUUUUCUCAUGGAGCUAGGAGUGGGGGACCCUGGACAGGGCUGUGAAGAGCUGCGUUCUCUUUAGGGAGACACCCUUGCCCAUCCUCAGUUGAUCUGAAGGCCCUAACUUUUGCCUCCAGGAUGGAGAGGUUGGGGAACUGCUUCCCUUCUGGCUCGUUCUCUCUCUUGGUCACCCUAGCACUGUGUCCCAUCUGUUGCACUGGGCUGGGGUUAAGGGUCUGUGGGUACCUGUCUGUCAGACAGAGGGAAAGUGAGGACCUACAGGUUCGAGGAGCACAGCUAUGCAGCAGAUCUGCUGGGUCUUUGGAGAGCCCCAAGUCCCAUGUGCUCAGACCUCUGUGUGGCUCAGAUCCAGUCAUGCAGCCAGUUUCUGUAGGCCACAGGAUGAAGCUGCUCCUGAUGUGUGUGGUGUGGUCUGACACUUGAGGAGGGAAAGGAUACCCAGAGCCCGGUUCCCACAGAGCCCCAGAACCAGGAGGGAAGCCCACACCCAGCUCAGGUAUGUGUUAGAGGAUUGUGACCCAUGGAGGCCAGCAUUGUUCAAGAAACAGGAAAUGAUGCCUGGGCCAGGGACCAUGAGAUUGGACAUGCAGAACGGAGCAGGAAGCAGAUCAGAAGGAAGUUCUGCCAUCAGCUGUAUGUUACCCUCUUCCAUGUGUUACCCAACUGGGGUGGUGAGGCAGAAGGGGGCGCACUCAUGGAAAAGCCUUACUCACAUCAUGUGAUGUCUGCUCAUUAGGCAAUGGCUGUGUGUUGGCCUCCUUCCAAGUGCUGGGACCACGGUGAGGGCCUGUGAAUCCCUGCCAGUGGUGCCCCAUCUGACAGAGGAGGGUAGCAGGGAAAGGGACAGACAGCCACUGAACUGUCUUUCCUGCUGCACCCAUGUAGGUACUGUGAGGUCUCAAAGAUAGCCUGGUGGGAAGGAAAGGCUGUAUGGGAAGAACAGGGAGGCCCAGUACUGAGUGGACAGAACCUCUGUGAUAAAGUUGGAGUCCUAGGAGGAGACUGAGAGCUGGCCGAGGUUACUUCCAAUGGCGGAACAAGCUUGUGUCUCACAUUGCUCCUGUGUGGGAGGGCAGUGAGCAGACCAUUUCAACUGGGUGAUGGGGCAGAAGGGGGUGUACUCAUUGGAAAGUCUUCAGCAGGUUGGUGCAGGAAGGAGGCUGAGAAGCACACCUCAUAUCACCCCUCCUAUCACCCUGUGUCUCCUGCACGGGGCAGCAACCCCUCUGAUGGUGUCCGAGUGUCUAGAUGAGAGAUCUGAAACUCCAAAAGGGAAACCAGCCCUGUUUUACUUUUUCCAUAAAUAAAAUCCCACCUCCUUGCCCAGAGCAGCCCAAGGCCUUCAUCUCAGGACCAAGAAGCAGCCUCAUUCCGGGCAGCACAGGAGAGAAGUUUGCUUCCUGAAGCUGCUGCCAGAAGAUGGCCUGCCUGGCUUCCCAUCAGCCUGGAUCACACUGUCAAUACCUCCUGGGUGACCAACUCUCACCCUACCUGGCCAGUCCUGGCCCUGAGUGGGCUCUCCUGAGCCUGAAAACCUCCCUCAUCGAUUUUUAGGGGCACAUGACAGGAACAGGGUUCCCUCUCUAACCAGGCCUAGGUGAUAGAAACAGGGUUCCUUCCAGUCCACACCCAGGGUGGCCACAGCGUGGCCCCUCUGCGAGUGGGGUAACAUGGGGACAGGAGAGACAUCUUACUGUUGGUUGUAGCCUCCCCCGCAGUGGCCACCUCCAGCAGAGCAGACCUGAUACUGUGCUGUGGCCUCCCCAGGAGAGCCAAGGAUAACAGUUUUCUUUGGUACCAUGUGAAAUUAGCACUUUGGGGGUUCACUAAGGGACCAGCAAAGGCCAUGCCUCAGUGUUCUGGACUAAGAGAUCCUGGGGCCCAACCUAGAAGGCACAGACAGGCAUAGGGUACAGGUAACAGACACCCUGAGCAGGACCAGGCAGGGAUGGGUGGUGAGGGUGAGGGAGGGGAUUUUAGGGAAGGACAAUUCCCAUCCCCUCAGCCCCAGCCUUAGGAAACCAGGGCUUCUAGAAAGAUCUGUGAGGCCAGAGUGUCAUCAGAAACAUACCACAUCGAUCCCUGUAGUUCUGCCUCUUCAUGCAGAACGACAAACAGGUCCAGCCCCACUGCCCUAUCCAAAGGCAUAAAGUUCCUCACCACCAUGCCACAGAUGGGCCCCCAUGCCCACAGGUGCCAAGAUUGAAGGGUGUUUCCAGUCCGUUACUACUCAGACUCUAAAUAAGACCAAAGGGGAAGUAGAGAAUCUGGAGCCAGGAGACAGAGAUGGCCCGGUGUUACAGUGAUGCCAGUGCAGGGUUACACUUCCCAGAAGUUCUAUAAUUGUGUUCCUGGUGCCCCUGCCCAGUGCUCGAUUGGGAGCCUUGCCCACCGUUCUCACUCUGCAGAUGGACCUGGGGUCCUGGAGCCUGCACAGAGGCUGGGCCCAUCCAGGCCACAGCAUAGAUCCAUAAGCCUCCUCCACAUGGACUGGGCACAGCAACAAAGUCAACUAGAGGCCAACGAAGGCCCAGGCCUCACUGGAGCUCUCAUUCUUGGGGAAUCAUUUCCAGAUCCAGCAGUGAGCAGAGGUUUCACUUUCCACAGCUCUGACACUGGACAUUGGUGUUGCCCCAUGAUGUGGAUAUGCAGAAAUUGAGGAACAGAGCUGCAGACCAGGGCCUGGAGCCAGCCUGAGCUAUCAACCAGAGAGGGUACUGCUGGUGAUCCAGGGGCAAAGCAAGAAUCUAGGCUACAGCUGCAGUGUUCCUGGAGGCAGCUGGAUCUCAAGGUGAACGGAUUCCUGAAAGCCCCAACUGCGAGAGGCAGGAAUAUUCCAGUGCUGGACUCCUCCUGUCCAUCCUGGGAGCCUGGGAGCCUGACACUGCAGGCAGCAGUAUCUGUUGUCCAUCUCCCUUGAUCCUGCCCCAUGUGGUCACAGGCCUGUUCCUCUGCAGGCAGAAUGUAUAAACAAGUGCAGGAAACAACUCUCAUGUCACUCCCCAAACACUACAUGUUGAUUGGUGGGUAGAGGAGGCAGUGAUCCUUCCUUGGACGCCAUGUCCUGCUCAUCUGCUCUGCUAGAGUCCAGGAGAAUGGGGUAUAGGUGGGGAUCCCCUGAGCUCCUCUCAGGUGGGCAAAGCCAGAGGGGCUCCCAGGGAAUCUGGACAGCUGGAGAAGCCACUGGCUGAGUCCCUGCACUUCCCGCUGCACCUCCCAACUACUCCACAUCACCAGGAUCAAGAAGAGUCACUGCCAUGCAAGGGCCCCCACAGACACGGACACUUCUUGAUUCUUAUAGGGCCUGUGGCAGGGCCAAGCAGCCUCCAGGAUUUGGUCCCGGAGCAGCAGCAGCCCAGUGGUAGUGACUGUACCACACAGUCCCUCACAGCCCCUACGAUUCUCCGUCUUUCUCCUGAAUUUGCCUUUCUGGGAUUCCUGCUCUCAGGACACCUGCAUGACAGCAGGAGUAGAGCAGCAUGCCUGUGGACCCUCACGGGCCAGGAACAUCUCUGUCACACUUCAGGUGGUGGCUGUUUGUCACCAGAGCUUCCAACGGGAUAGGAGAGAUGUGUGGAGGGAAGGGGCAGGAGCUGAGCUGUCCAGCUAGGGCUGCAGUGGGCUGGAUGGCUGCAGCUUAGAGCAGCCUCAGACAUAUGCAAGGGAUGAGGGAGGCUGAGUCCCAACAAAACUUUACUUACAGACUCCGAAUUUCAUAUAAUUGUUCACAUGUCAUGAAUAUUUUCUUCAUUUUCCCCAACCAUUUAAAAAUACACAAAUCGUUUCUGUCUUUCUGGUAAACAAAGAUGGAAGCAGAAUUGGGCCUUGGAACUGCAGCUUGCCUUUGGGGUUUCUUUUUAAAGGCACAGUUUUUGUUUCGUGUUUUGAGACCUUCCUGGGUUUUCCAGGCUGGCCUCAAAUUCCUGGUCUCAAAUAAACUUCCUGCCUCAUCCUUUCCGAGUAAUUGGACUACAGGUAUGCAAUACCACGCCUGGCUGAAACAUUUUUUGUUGUUUGCUUUUUUAAUUUUAUAAGUAUAGAUUUUAAAAUCACGUCUCAUUUUUUACUGUUUUUUCAAGUCAACUGUGUAAUAGUAGGAUCUGUACAUGCAAUAUGGUUCAGAAUUUAUAAAUUCCUUCCUGGAAUUCUGGGCCAGCCCAGGUCAGACUGGACCUGGCAGAGUGGUAGCCCCCAAAACUGCACCUAGCCUGACCAGUCUUUCUCUGUAGCCCUCUUUUCUAGCUUUUCCCCUAGGCCAGGAUGGUAUGUAUGAGGGGGCUUCUUGGAAUCUUUCAGGGUCCUAAGGGUGGUCAUCAUCAAGGACCAGGCCCAGGACAUAUGUGAGGAGUGUCAAUAUCCAGGCCAAACUUGUCCCCAUCUGGUGGUUAUAUGAAGCACAGGGGUGUCCCUUAGGCCAGGACUAACGAGACAGCUGUACCCAGGGACAGAAGACAGUUUAAGGGUACCAAUUCGGGCCUCCUUGGACCUUCUGCUGUGGGUGAUGGUGGGUGAAUGUUUGUUCCCUGGGACCUGUCCUGCCACCUCCCUCUCCAACAAUCAGACCUCUGCCCUGGCAUGUGGUAUGUCUGACUCUCCAGGCUGAGUGUCCCCACACCCAGUGUGGACAGCUCUGGGUCAGCCUCCCUAAGUUGGCCACUCUAUUGAGAAGCUCAGGUUACUAUACUGUCUGAGGGGCCAUUGACUUGGUGCGAACAUUUUAAAAUACUGGAUUGCAGAAACCCUACAAUAUGGUUUGCUUCUGACCACUAGAAAGUGAAAAACCAUAAAAGCCACAGUUGCUGAAAUCCUGUACCAGAGAGCUCUGUGAAAGAGGGUGCAGCGGGAGCCUUGAAAGACCCUUGUCUGACCACACAAGGUUCUAGGGACCAAAGAAUGUAAUUUAAACUGGACACCAGCCCAAUCUUGCCUUCAUCUAUCUUUCCUGGAGAACUCCUACAAAUCCUUCAGAAACGUCCUCAAAAUGCUGUGGACCUCCGAGUCCUCAUUGAUGGGUAUGUUUCUCCUUGCUCCAGGGUGGCCUUGGCACAGCAGGAUGCCCCCGUCUGACCACAUCCUCCCAUGUAGGCCCUGGGCCCAGUCCACAACCAAACAUUUGGUGGGAACCUUGGCUUGUCCUCCCUCAGCCUGGUUGCCUGCCUCUGUGUAUGUGAAGGCUUCUGAGCCCUUUGUGAGCUUGGCCCAGGAGCCUCAAGUCACCUUGGCAUGGUUUCUCUCUCCACCACAGGGGCAGUUGUGUGGAAAUGACCUUUUGUCUCAACCAAAUACCACCACAGAGACCCACCCAGCUGCCACUUCCUGUUGCUGUGGCUUCAUAGGGGACAAAAGUCUGUAGGAACAGAGCCUGGAGUCCAGGGCCAGGAAAGUCAGCAUAGGGCAGGACUGGCCUGAAUGGGCAGGCAGCGGCUAUAACAGUUACAUCUGACGUCUGCCAGAAUCUGGCAGGCAUGCACAUGCCAUGCAUACAUACGCAUGUGCAGAAGGGACCUGUGAGCUCCAUGUAUGCACAUGCAGAAGGCACGUAUGUUUUCAUGUAUCUGUGCAAACACUGGCCUAUAUAUGCUUGUGUGUACAGGUACACACAGCCAGGCACACACCUUUCUACAGGAACUGCUGUGCCAUCUUGGGAGUACACUCAGACAGAGACAGAGAGGUGGGACCGGCAGAAAGCAAGCAACGGUUCAGCACUGGGGACUGAUCCAGCCCCCAAGCUGGGGCAGGGUGUAGAAAUUAAACAGCCCAUCUCCACUACACUGCCAGAAGCUCACAUGGCAGGGUUCCCGGCUGGCUGGCUGGCAGCUGACUGGCCUGGGCUCCCUCUUCAUCCUCUACCUCCUGCCUGCCCCUCCUUACCCUUGUUUUUUCUCCAAGACUAACUUGCAACAAAAUCCUUUAGUCUAUUUUCUCUCGACUGUGUGGAACACCUGGUCAGGACAAAUGGGUGAUGCAUUAGCACCUAAAGCUAGACACACAGCCAAGAUCCUUGAGCUGCACCCUGGGUUUUAAAGAAAUCAAAUUCCAAGUCCAGAGACUUGAAGCUUCUGGAGGGAAGGCAGUGUCUCAGCAACCCUGUUCCAGACAGUGGGUAUCAGUAUCACUGAGGACACCUGCCUCCCUAGGACCUUCGGGGCUCCGGUAGAACCUGGAGCAGCAGGUGGCAGGGUUGUAUUAGGGGAGAAAAACAAGGAACCACGCCCUGAGCCCUCCAAGAGGGAAAGUGCCUUUGGAGAUGCUAAGGUCCUUCUCUCCUUGCAUCUUCAUCUUGUAUGGGGGGGGGGAUGUAAGGAGAGGAGGGUGAGGUGAGUGUGUGGGCUGGAUCUGCAGCAGCCAGAUGCUGAGAUCCAUCCACCCUCCUGGUCCCACCCUGCUAUGCCUUCUUGAGACAUCAGGAAAGGUACACACAGGCCUUCCAAGGAAGCUGGAGCCCCUGACAGGGGACUAUACAGUUCAGGGAGCAGGUAGCUGGAGGUCCCACUGCCCAGUACAUGCUCAGAGGGCUGAGCACUGUGGUGCCUGCCAGCAGGCAAGCUCUGUGGGUUGUGGGGUCCUCAAAGCAGCCCACAGCACUGCCAGGCAGCAUGUGCAGGGCCCGGUGCCCAGAAGACCUGGCAAAGCUAUUAGGCCUGAAGUGCCUUUCCAGCAUUAAAAAAAAAAAAAAAAAGCCAGAAACUUUUUCUCUAGGCCAAGGAUAAAUUAGCUAAGGACAAAUGCAGCGCGAUGAUCAUUUAUCACCGCCAGCCCGGGAGGAUCCUGGGAGCCCGUCCUGGCCUGUGACUCAAGGUCAGAAGCCUUGCUUCCCUCAUUAUUUCUAUUUUUAACAAUUGUGUUCAGGCCUUCUGCAAAAAUAGCAAAAGGUGAGACCAUU